rnacentral:rRNA from 1 species
GAGUUUGAUCCUGGCUCAGAGUGAACGCUGGCGGCGUGCUUAACACAUGCAAGUCGAACGAGAACGGAUUAAAGCUUGCUUUAAUUGUCAGCUAAGUGGCGCACGGGUGAGUAAUAUAUAGGUAACGUGCCUUCAAGAAGGGGAUAACGUUUGGAAACGAACGCUAAGACCCUAUAUGCCUUUAUGUCAUAAGACAGCAAGGGAAAUAUUUAUAGCUUGAAGAUCGGCCUGUACAGUAUCAGUUAGUUGGUGAGGUAAUGGCUCACCAAGACAAUGACGCUUAACUGGUUUGAGAGGAUGAUCAGUCACACUGGAACUGAGACACGGUCCAGACUCCUACGGGAGGCAGCAGUGGGGAAUAUUGCACAAUGGACGAAAGUCUGAUGCAGCAACGCCGCGUGGAGGAUGACACAUUUCGGUGCGUAAACUCCUUUUAUAUAGGAAGAUAAUGACGGUACUAUAUGAAUAAGCACCGGCUAACUCCGUGCCAGCAGCCGCGGUAAUACGGAGGGUGCAAGCGUUACUCGGAAUCACUGGGCGUAAAGAGAAUGUAGGCGGAUAGGUAAGUUUGAAGUGAAAUCCAAUGGCUCAACCAUUGAACUGCUUUGAAAACUGCUUAUCUAGAAUAUGGGAGAGGUAGAUGGAAUUUCUGGUGUAGGGGUAAAAUCCGUAGAGAUCAGAAGGAAUACCGAUU